AUUUGAACGCUGGCGGCAUGCCUUACACAUGCAAGUCGAACGGCAGCACGGGAGCAAUCCUGGUGGCGAGUGCGACGGUGAGUAGUAUAUCGGAACGUGCCCAGUAGUGGGGGAUAGCCCGGCGAAAGCCGGAUUAAUACCGCAUACGACCUGAGGGUGAAAGCGGGGGAUCGCAAGACCUCGCGCUAUUGGAGCGGCCGAUAUCAGAUUAGCUAGUUGGUGGGGUAAAGGCCUACCAAGGCUACGAUCUGUAGUUGGUCUGAGAGGACGACCAGCCACACUGGGACUGAGACACGGCCCAGACUCCUACGGGAGGCAGCAGUGGGGAAUUUUGGACAAUGGGCGCAAGCCUGAUCCAGCAAUGCCGCGUGCAGGAAGAAGGCCU
rnacentral:rRNA from 1 species